UACGAAGGGGGCUAGCGUUGCUCGGAAUCACUGGGCGUAAAGCGCACGUAGGCGGCCUGACAAGUGGAAGGUGAAAUCCCUCGGCUCAACUGAGGAACUGCCCUCCAAACUGUUUGGCUUGAGACCGGGAGAGGUGAGUGGAAUUCCCAGUGUAGCGGUGAAAUGCGUAGAUAUUGGGAGGAACACCAGUGGCGAAGGCGGCUCACUGGACCGGUACUGACGCUGAGGCGCGAAAGCGUGGGGAGCAAACGGG
rnacentral:rRNA from 1 species